CCUACGGGAGGCAGCAGUGGGCGCAGGAAGGCCGCGGUCAAGGGCUUGGAGUGGGAGCUGGAGCGCGGCGCCGCCCCCGCCCGCGUCCACAAGGCCUGUCUGAGCAUUCUGGAGGAUCUGGCCGCCACCGCGGACCCCAACGAGCCCGGCGCCAGUCCCGGCCUGCCGACCCUCAUCACCGACGCCCUCGAUGGCGCCCUCUACGGCUAUCAGCCGUUGGAGAUCACCUGGGGCCGCGCCGGGGCCUUGAUCGUGCCCGCCGUGGUGCAGAGCAAGCCGCCGGAGUGGUUCCGAUUCGACACCGAGAACCGGCUGCGUUUCCGCACCCGCGAUGGCGACAGCUACGGUCGACUGCAGCCACCCGUAGG
rnacentral:rRNA from 1 species